AGAUGUAACGGAUAGCAGUUUGGCCGGAUACCGGAUACCGGAUAUUCGGCCUACCACCUGGCCGGAUAGCCGGAUAUCUGGCCGCCGAAUAUCCGGCGGAACUUAGCCGUUUGGUGCAGCGCACACACACUUGGCGUAGGCGACGCGCGAACGAUCGGGUGGCCUCGGUUUGAUUCGGGUCUUUUCGUUGAUGAGCGAAGUUAGCAAUUCUUUCAUUCAUUGACUUAUUGUGUCGAUUGCAGUGCAGACACGUGCGUGAUUUUAGGUUAUUAUUUCACUGUGCUAUUGUUUUAACAACGAGAAAUGGCAUCGGCGAAGAAAAAGUCGCCCUUAUGGGAAUACUUUGACAUAAACAGUGAAAAUAAUAAGUUAGCUGUUUGUUUAUUAUGCAAUGUUAAUAUUUCACGUGGCGGUGAAGGCAAAAAAGCAGGUACUUCUGCUAUGAAAAAUCAUUUAAAAUCAAAACAUCCAGAUGAAUUUCGUGCAGUGAAUAAAGACAAGGCCGCUGUCGAGCCUACUACAAUUUCUUUAGCCAUUGCGGGGACAAGUUCGUCGUCAUUUGCAAAAAAGCAAUUGACUACAGACAGAAUCUUUCGAAAGGAAAUUGCUCUGGGAUAUAAAUGAUGCUAAAGCCAAAAAGUACCAUUAUUUAGUAGCCGAAAUGAUUGCACUUGACAACGAGCCAUUGUCCAUAGUGGAAAGAACCGGAUUUACCAGACUCUUAGAACAAGCUUUACCCCGCUAUAAAUUGCCAAGCCGGACUUAUAUUAGCCAAAAAAUCGUUCUUGAUAUAUAUGACAGAAUUUACGAGAAAAUCAAACUUAACAUUUCGAGUGCCUUCGCUAUUUCAGUGACUUCUGACAUAUGGACUUGCUUACACAAUAAUGAUAGCUUUCUGAGCUUCACAGCUCAUUGGAUAUCAUCUGAAUUUAAACUAGAACACGGAGUUCUGGCAAUGAAGCCUUUCUCAGGGUCACACACAGGAGAAAAUAUAUCUAUGGAAAUUAACACUGUCGCACACCGCUGGGAUAUUGAGCACACUAAAAUACAUUUGUUAAUUCAUGAUAGUGGUGCUAAUAUGGUGAAGGGUGUCCGUUUGGCUAAGUACGAUUCUGCUAGAUGUUUUAUACAUACACUUCAAAGAGCAAUAAACGAGUCACUCAAAGUGCAGACUGAAGUGACAGCAAUGAUUGCUGCUGGCAGGCGACUUGUAACGCACUUCAAUCACUCAGGUUUAGCUCAAGAAAAACUGCUGACGAUUCAAAAAGAGCUAAGUUUACCCGAGCAUCAAUUAGUGCAAGAUAUUAGCACUAGGUGGAAUUCCACUUUUUACUUGAUUGAACGUUUGUUAGAACAAAAGCGUGCCAUAUCAUUGUAUGUUGCUGAUCACGAUACACUCGUAAAUUUGACAGCUCAACAGUGGAGUUUAAUGGAGCAGUGUAUCAAUUUAUUAAAGCCCUUCGAAGAAAUAACAAAAAUAACAAGUUCUGGACUAUCCUGCGUGUCGGAAGUUAUUCCACACGUAACUGCUUUAAAAAAAUACUUAGAUAAAGCUGAAACUGAGCAAAGAACUCCUGAUUUAUCACAUAUGCGCGCCUCGUUAAAAGCUGAAUUAGAAGUUCGUUUUAACUCCAUAAGUCAAGACUUAAACUACUUGAUUGCAACUUACCUAGAUCCGAGAUUUAAAACAAACUACUUGGGGGUGAUUGACGCUGAAAGAGCACGCCAGGAGAUCUUGUUGGAAUAUUUAAAAAUGUCUUGUGAAGAGUCCUCAAGUAGCAGUUCAUGUUCAACACCGGCUAAAAAGAGUAGAGGAGAGGAGACAGAGUCAGCUGUAUCUCGCAAAGCUCAUGACACGUUUUGGGAUUGUUUUGAUGAGGUAGCAAAUGAAAACAAUACUGGCCAGGUUCAACGCGAAGAAAGAAACGCGAUAACCUGUGAGCUGGAUUUUUAUCUCAAGUCAGUGCGAAUUGAUCGCAAUCGUGACCCUUAUUCUUGGUGGGCAGCUAAUGCCAAACAA